rnacentral:rRNA from 1 species
AUUGAACGCUGGCGGCAUGCCUUACACAUGCAAGUCGAACGGCAGCACGGGAGCAAUCCUGGUGGCGAGUGGCGAACGGGUGAGUAAUACAUCGGAACGUGCCCAAUCGUGGGGGAUAACGCAGCGAAAGCUGUGCUAAUACCACAUAAGAUCUACGGAUGAAAGCAGGGGACCGCAAGGCCUUGCGCGAAUGGAGCGGC